rnacentral:rRNA from 1 species
GAUGAAUGCUGGCGGCGUGCCUAACACAUGCAAGUCGAGCGGCAGCGCGUCUAGUUUACUAGAUGGCGGCGAGCGGCGGACGGCUGAGUAACGCGUGGGAACGUGCCCCAAAGUGAGGAAUAACUGCCCGAAAGGGUAGCUAAUGCCGCAUAUGAUCUUCGGAUUAAAGGAUUUAUCCGCUUUGGGAGCGGCCCGCGUACGAUUAGGUAGUUGGUGAGGUAAUGGCUCACCAAGCCGACGAUCGUCAACUGGUCUGUGAGGAUGAUCAGUCAGACUGGAACUGAGACACGGUCCAGACUCCUACGGGAGGCAGCAGUGAGGAAUCUUCCACAAUGGGCGAAAGCCUGAUGGAGCAACGCCGCGUGCAGGAUGAAGGCCUUCGGGUUGUAAACUGCUUUUAUAAGUGAAGAAUAUGACGGUAACUUAUGAAUAAGCACCGGCUAACUACGUGCCAGCCGCCGCGGUAA